UGGGGAAUUUUGGACAAUGGGCGCAAGCCUGAUCCAGCCAUGCCGCGUGCGGGAAGAAGGCCUUCGGGUUGUAAACCGCUUUUGUCAGGGAAGAAAUCUUCUGAGUUAAUACCUCGGGAGGAUGACGGUACCUGAAGAAUAAGCACCGGCUAACUACGUGCCAGCAGCCGCGGUAAUACGUAGGGUGCAAGCGUUAAUCGGAAUACUGGGCGUAAAGCGUGCGCAGGCGGUUUUGUAAGACAGAGGUGAAAUCCCCGGGCUCAACCUGGGAACUGCCUUUGUGACUGCAAGGCUUGAGUGCGGCAGAGGGGGAUGGAAUUCCGCGUGUAGCAGUGAAAUGCGUAGAUAUGCGGAGGAACACCGAUGGCGAAGGCAAUCCCCUGGCCUGCACUGACGCUCAUGCACGAAAGCGUGGGGAGCAAACAGGAUUAGAUAGCCCUGGUAGUCCACGCCCUAAACGAUGUCAACUGGUUGUUGGGAAGGUUCCUUCUCAGUAACGUAGCUAACGCGUGAAGUUGACCGCCUGGGGAGUACGGCCGCAAGGUUGAAACUUAAAGGAAUUGACGGGGGU
rnacentral:rRNA from 1 species